CCUACGGGAGGCAGCAGUGGGGAAUAUUGGGCAAUGGAGGAAACUCUGACCCAGCGACGCCGCGUGCGGGAUGAAGGCCUUCGGGUUGUAAACCGCUUUCAGUAGGGAAGAAGCGAAAGUGACGGUACCUACAGAAGAAGCACCGGCUAACUAUGUGCCAGCAGCCGCGGUAAUACAUAGGGUGCAAGCGUUGUCCGGAAUUAUUGGGCGUAAAGAGCUCGUAGGUGGUUCGUCACGUCGGAUGUGAAAAUCUGGGGCUCAACCCCAGACCUGCAUUCGAUACGGGCGAUCUAGAGUGUGGUAGGGGAGACUGGAAUUCCUGGUGUAGCGGUGGAAUGCGCAGAUAUCAGGAGGAACACCAAUGGCGAAGGCAGGUCUCUGGGCCAUUACUGACACUGAGGAGCGAAAGCGUGGGGAGCGAACAGGAUUAGAUACCCUGGUAGUCCACGCCGUAAACGGUGGGCACUAGUUGUGGGAACCUUCCACGGUUUCUGCGACGCAGCUAACGCAUUAAGUGCCCCGCCUGGGGGAGGUACGANCGCGAGAAUAAACUAACAAGAAGUAGACGGCGUGAGACGUGGCGAAGGACGACGACGAGGGAGGUAGG
rnacentral:rRNA from 1 species